AAUCUCUCUAGCUCUUUUCUCUUUUUUUUAUAGAAUUUAUAACCUGAUUUUCGUGGCUUUGUGGGCUCAAAUGAGAGAGGUCCAAGUCCAAGAUUUUUCUGUUAUAUUUUGUUUAUUUAUUUUAUUUAUUUUCUUUUAUAUUUUUUUUUCUUUUUUUUUAUAUUAUUUUUUUUCGUUUUUUUUUUCAAAACGCGUGGGCUUCGCCUAGCGAGCAUGACAGUUCAAGAAAUUCCUCUGAGCGUAGGUGAUUCUGGUGGCUUUUCUUGGGACUCGCUAGGCGACCCAUUCGACUCGCCUAGCGAGCAUGACAACUCAUGAACAAACUUUUGCUCCUUCAAGAUUAACGUUUUGACUGAUGAAUAGACCCCAUUUGAACAUGUUGGAAGUAUCUCAAGUCAUUCCCUUGUGUU
rnacentral:lncRNA from 1 species